rnacentral:rRNA from 1 species
GACGAACGCUGGCGGCGUGCCUAAUACAUGCAAGUCGAACGAGAGCAACCGGUGCUUGCACUGGUCAAUCUAGUGGCGAACGGGUGAGUAACACGUGGGUAACCUGCCCAUCGGAGGGGGAUAACAUCCGGAAACGGAUGCUAAAACCGCAUAGGUCUUCGAACCGCAUGGUUUGAAGAGGAAAAGAGGCGCAAGCUUCUGCUGAUGGAUGGACCCGCGGUGCAUUAGCUAGUUGGUGAGGUAACGGCUCACCAAGGCCGUGAUGCAUAGCCGACCUGAGAGGGUGAUCGGCCACAUUGGGACUGAGACACGGCCCAAACUCCUACGGGAGGCAGCAGUAGGGAAUCUUCCGCAAUGGACGCAAGUCUGACGGAGCAACGCCGCGUGAGUGAAGAAGGUUUUCGGAUCGUAAAACUCUGUUGUUAGAGAAGAACAAGUGCUAGAGUAACUGUUAGCGCCUUGACGGUAUCUAACCAGAAAGCCACGGCUAACUACGUG